rnacentral:rRNA from 1 species
UGUAGUCAUAUGCUUGUCUCAAAGAUUAAGCCAUGCAUGUCUAAGUAUAAGCAAUUAUACAGCGAAACUGCGAAUGGCUCAUUAAAUCAGUUAUCGUUUAUUUGAUAGUACCUUACUACAUGGAUAACCGUGGUAAUUCUAGAGCUAAUACAUGCUAAAAACCCCGACUUCGGAAGGGGUGUAUUUAUUAGAUUAAAAACCAAUGCCCUUCGGGGCUCCCUGGUGAUUCAUAAUAACUUCUCGAAUCGCACGGCCUUGCGCCGGCGAUGGUUCAUUCAAAUUUCUGCCCUAUCAACUUUCGACGGCAGGGUCUUGGCCUGCCAUGGUGACAACGGGUAACGGAGGGUUAGGGCUCGACCCCGGAGAAGGAGCCUGAGAAACGGCUACUACAUCCAAGGAAGGCAGCAGGCGCGCUAAUUACCCAAUCCCGACUCGGGGAGGUAGUGACAAUAAAUACUGAUACAGGGCUCUUUUGGGUCUUGUAAUUGGAAUGAGUACAAUUUAAAUCCCUUAACGAGGAACAAUUGGAGGGCAAGUCUGGUAAUCG